GAAGCUGAUCAUCCGUUAGAUGUCAUGUUUAUCUGCUGCUCGAGACCAUUUAAAGAAGAUCACAGACGUGAUUUAAUAUAUAAAACUAAAAACGCAUCCCGUCUCCAACGACACACUUCUAGUUUGUUUUCAUGCAUUAAAACUACUGACACUGAUUCACUUCCGCUCCACUAGGCGGCGUCUGCGGCUUUGACGUUCAGCGUGACUGUGACACCUUUAGAGCCUCAUCAACAACAUGACACUGAUGACAGCCGCCUCGACACGACUGAUUAUUCAUGUUUUAAGACCGUUAAAGUACAGUUACUGCAGAUGACAGCUUAUUUACAGACUCAUUCAACAGCAUGUAUGUCAGCCAUAACGUUAAUAACAAACUACACGCUGUGUUGUCAAGCGUCCAGGAUGUCACUCUGAUCACCUCAGAAGCAUGUGGUCAGACAUUGACUGUAAUGAUGGACAUCUGCUGAGUGACAGAAUUAAUGUUGAACAGAUUAUAGUGUGAUUUCUGGAGCAACACGAGAUCCAUUUCCCCAUUCUCUGUUUAUUCUGCCACUGCUGAUGCACAAAUCCUCCACAAGUGGGCACAACAUUGACACAUUGAUCAGGCUUUCUUCAUUAAAUCUUUAUUAAAUGUGAUGUUUGUCUGUAGAUUGAUGUGUUGAUAUGAUGACCAGUCCUGAGCUUCACAUCCUCCUCAUCAGAGACACAGAGAAAGAUUCAGUCAAACCUGCUACUGGAAGAGAAAAAUCAGUCAAACAGUGCUGUAAUCUCAAAAAGAUGAACAAGUUAAACAUGUCUAAUAUAAGAGGAUACAGGGUCAGUAUAAAACAGGGUGUGUGUGUGUGUAUAGUUGGCAAAUAAAUGUACACAGAGGAUGAUUAAUUUAUAUUUAUGUAGUUUGAUUUUUUUAUGUUUGAGAAAAUAUCAGCGGUCAGUAACCUUAUUAAUUUCUUUCACAGUAAUUUUUUUCCCUUUUGUCUUUUAGUUGAACUGUACCAUAAACAUGCCCAAUGGUGCAACAAAAUAAAAAUAAGAAAAACAACUCUUAAUAAUAGGAUUUAUCUUAAUUGUUGGAAUCGUAUCUUUAAUUAAUGCUAAUACUAUUUUUUUUCUCCUUAAUUUUCCAAACUUGGACAUUUUCAAUAUAUACAGAGCUCAGCAUAUACGAGUACUCCCCUCACAAAUCUGUCUUU